UACUAAAGAAUAUUUCUACGUGGUCCUG
rnacentral:sRNA from 1 species